rnacentral:rRNA from 1 species
GUAGAGUAACCUGCCGCGCAGAGGGGGAUAACGACUAGAAAUGGUCGCUAAUACCGCAUGGUGCUAGGAGGUGGGGACACCUUCUGGUUAAAACCUUGGUGCUGCGCGAGGGGCCUGCGCCCGAUUAGUUAGUUGGUGAGGUAACGGCUCACCAAGACGAUGAUCGGUAGCUAGUCUGAGAGGAUGAUUAGCCACACGGGAACUGAGACACGGUCCCGACUCCUACGGGGGGCAGCAGUGAGGAAUAUUGCACAAUGGACGAAAGUCUGAUGCAGCAACGCCGCGUGGAGGAUGACGGCCCUUGGGUUGUAAACUCCUUUUUUCAGGGAAGAGUGAGGACGGUACCUGAAGAAUAAGUCACGGCUAACUACGUGCCAGCAGCCGCGGUAAUACGUAGGUGGCAAGCGUUAUCCGGAAUUACUGGGCGUAAAGCGCACGCAGGCGGUCUCUUAAGUUUGACGUGAAAGCUCCCGGCUUAACUGGGAGAGGUCGUUGAAUACUGGGGGACUUGAGGCAAUGAGAGGGGUGUAGAAUUCCCGGUGUAGUGGUGGAAUGCGUAGAUAUCGGGGGGAAUACCAGUGGCGAAAGCGGCACCCUAGCGUUGUUCUGACGCUCAUGUGCGAAAGCGUGGGGAGCGAACGGGAUUAGAUACCCCGGUAGUCCACGCCGUAAACGAUGAACACUAGGUGUAGGUGAUGUGAAAGUCAUCUGUACCGAAGCCAACGCGUUAAGUGUUCCGCCUGGGGGAGUACGGCCGCAAGGCUAAAACUCAAAGGAAUUGACGGGGGCCCGCACAAGC